rnacentral:rRNA from 1 species
UACGUAGGUGGCAAGCGUUAUCCGGAAUUAUUGGGCGUAAAGAGCGCGCAGGUGGUUGAUUAAGUCUGAUGUGAAAGCCCACGGCUUAACCGUGGAGGGUCAUUGGAAACUGGUCGACUUGAGUGCAGAAGAGGGAAGUGGAAUUCCUAGUGUAGCGGUGAAAUGCGUAGAUAUUAGGAGGAACACCAGUGGCGAAGGCGACUUUCUGGACUGUAACUGACACUGAGGUACGAAAGCGUGGGUAGCAAACAGGAUUAGAUACCCGCGUAGUCCCUGA